CACCUAACAUUUCUCUUCUGAGCUUUCUCGGUCCCCUCAGAAUCUCUCUCCUCCGACUCUGCAUGGUCAGAAUCUCGCCCAUUACUUACAACCUUGUGCAGGACAUGGCUUCCUCCACCAUCAUCCCAUGGACACGAGAGAAACCAGUCCUGGACUUGUUGUGGCAGAAACCCAGUACCCACAUCUGACUCUACAUGGACACCGACAUGCUCACUUUCUCAGGACUACUGAGAAAAUGCUGUGCCACCUGACACCUGCAAAUUGAAGAAUUAUAACUGUGGCAUGAAGUUCUAAGCAUCCCAACUUUUAAAUAUAGACACCCACCAGCAAGGGGAGCCAGCUGUCUCUGCAGAGCGUGCUCAGAACGUUUAACCAGCCUGCAGCCUGACACCAGGCAGCAAAGCCUGAAUCUACACCCACAUCACCUCCAAAGCCUGCAUUCCUAGCCACUGCAUCCUUCCAGUUACCCAAGAAAACAUCUGGGUCAUGUUCUAGGAAAAACAUUUCUAUUAAAAUGGAGAUGAAUGUUCUUCAAGUGGUGUAUUUCUGUAGUGGUGGGAUAAUAUAUAAACUCCACAAGCAAAAUGGUACCAAGGCUAGCAAAGUGCAUGAUAAGAAUGAUUUCUGACCCUGGGCAAGAGGCAGCCUUAGCCAUCUCCCUCUGUGAACUCAGUGCUGGAGAUACCAGAGGGGAGAAAAGGAGAAUCCUGACUUGAAAAAGCUCCAUUGGCAAUGAACACCAAAUGCCAGACACUUUUGCAGGCCAGGAAGGGGGCUGAGUCCUGGAGGGAGGUGAUGGCCACCUAUGGAGCCAUGGCAGGGAGGGGCAGCCUACCAUCACAGCCCUGAAUUGAGUGAUCCUGGCCACAGUCCUGGACCCUGGAUCUGUGCUAAGUGCUAGGGGGCAGCACAGGGAGCCAGGCAGUGCCCACACCGGGUGGCACACCAGCCAUGCACAAUAAGCAUGGGGGGGGGGCCAGGGCAGCAGCCUUUUGCUCCAGCCUAUUGCAAUAGAGAUAUCUGCAAAACACCCAGGAGGAAGAGGAUACUUGGAGGGGUGGGAGGGGUAAAACAAGAUUUUAGUGCUACAGCCUCCCAACCCCACGCUGAGACUCAGCCCUUUGCCCCUCAAACACAUCAGAAGCUGGAACUGGGGGUCUACACUUUUCUCACAGCCCCAUGGUGGAUA